GACGAACGCUGGCGGCGCGCCUAACACAUACAAGUCGAACGGAGCUGAGAGAAGCUUGCUUUUCUUAGCUUAGUGGCGAACGGGUGAGUAACGCGUGAGUAACCUGCCCUGGAGUGGGGGACAACAGUUGGAAACGACUGCUAAUACCGCAUAAGCCCACGAUCCGGCAUCGGAUUGAGGGAAAAGGAUUUAUUCGCUUCAGGAUGGACUCGCGUCCAAUUAGCUAGUUGGUGAGGUAACGGCCCACCAAGGCGACGAUUGGUAGCCGGACUGAGAGGUUGAACGGCCACAUUGGGACUGAGACACGGCCCAGACUCCUACGGGAGGCAGCAGUGGGGGAUAUUGCACAAUGGGGGAAACCCUGAUGCAGCGACGCCGCGUGGAGGAAGAAGGUUUUCGGAUUGUAAACUCCUGUCGUUAGGGACGAUAAUGACGGUACCUAACAAGAAAGCACCGGCUAACUACGUG
rnacentral:rRNA from 1 species